rnacentral:rRNA from 1 species
CCAGACUCCUACGGGAGGCAGCAGUGGGGGAUAUUGCACAAUGGGGGAAACCCUGAUGCAGCGACGCCGCGUGGGCGAAGAAGUAUUUCGGUAUGUAAAGCCCUAUCAGCAGGGAAGAAGAAAUGACGGUACCUGAGUAAGAAGCACCGGCUAAAUACGUGCCAGCAGCCGCGGUAAUACGUAUGGUGCAAGCGUUAUCCGGAUUCACUGGGUGUAAAGGGAGCGUAGACGGCCAAGCAAGCCAGGGGUGAAAGCCCGGGGCCCAACCCCGGGACUGCCCUUGGAACUGCUUGGCUGGAGUGCGGGAGGGGCAGGCGGAAUUCCUGGUGUAGCGGUGAAAUGCGUAGAUAUCAGGAGGAACACCGGCGGCGAAGGCGGCCUGCUGGACCGCUACUGACGUUGAGGCUCGAAAGCGUGGGGAGCGAACAGGAUUAGAUACCCGGGUAU